rnacentral:sRNA from 1 species
GCCAGGUGUGGUGGCACACACCUGCAAUCCCAGCAGCUUGGGAGGCUGAGGCAGGAGGAUCACAAGCUCAAAGCCAGUCUCAGCAAAGUGAGGCCCUAGGCAAAUUAGUGAGAUCCUGUCUCAA